GUCUAGCUUGUUAUGCUGGCCGACCAGCAUGGUCUAGGUGGUUAUGCUGGCCGACCAGCAUGGUCUAGGUGGUUAUGGUGGCAGACCAGCAUGGUCUAGGUGGUUAUGCUGGCAGACCAGCAUGGUCUAGGUGGUUAUGCUGGCCGACCAGCAUGGUCCAGGAUGUUAUGCUGGCAGACCAGCAUGGUCCAGGAUGUUAUGCUGGCAGACCAGCAUGGUCCAGGAUGUUAUGCUGGCAGACCAGCAUGGUCCAGGAUGUUAUCUGGCAGACCAGCAUGGUUUAGGUGGUUAUGGUGGCAGACCAGCAUGGUCUAGGUGGUUAUGGUGGCAGACCAGCAUGGUCUAGGUGGUUAUGGUGGCAGACCAUCAUGGUCUAGGAUGUUAUGCUGGCAGACCAGCAUGGUCUAGGUGGCUAUGCUGGCCGACCAGCAUGGUCUUGGUGGUUAUGGUGGCA
ensembl:lncRNA